rnacentral:tRNA from 1 species
GGAGGUAUAGCUCAGUGGUAGAGUGUGUGCUUAGCAUGCACAAGGUCCUGGGUUCAAUCCCCAGCACCUCCA